rnacentral:rRNA from 1 species
CAGCCGCCACGGGAAUACAGAGGGUGCGAGCGUUAAUCGGAUUUACUGGGCGUAAAGCGUGCUUAGGCGGCUUCUUAAGUCGGAUGUGAAAUCCCUGAGCUUAACUUAGGAAUUGCAUUCGAUACUGGGAAGCUAGAGUAUGGGAGAGGAUGGUAGAAUUCCAGGUGUAGCGGUGAAAUGCGUAGAGAUCUGGAGGAAUACCGAUGGCGAAGGCAGCCAUCUGGCCUAAUACUGACGCUGAGGUACGAAAGCAUGGGGAGCAAACAGGAUUAGAUACCCGCGUAGUCCCUGUCUCUUAUAC